AUUGAACGCUGGCGGCAGGCCUAACACAUGCAAGUCGAGCGGAUGAAGGGAGCUUGCUCUUGGAUUCAGCGGCGGACGGGUGAGUAAUGCCUAGGAAUCUGCCUGGCAGUUGGGGAUAACGUCCGGAAACGGGCGCUAAUACCGCAUACGUUCUGAGAGUGAAAGUGGGGGAUCUUCGGACCACAAGCUAUUUGAUGAGCCUAGGUCGGAUUAGCUAGUUGGUGGGGUAACGGCCUACCAAGGCGACGAUCCGUAACUGAUCUGAGAGGAUGAUCAGUCACACUGGAACUGAGACACGGUCCAGACUCCUACGGGAGGGAGCAGUAGGGAAUAUUCGGCAAUGGGCGAAAGCCUGAUCCAGCCAUGCCGCGUGUGUGAAGAAGGUCUUCGGAUUGUAAAGCUCUUUAAGUUGGGAGGAAGAGCAGUGAAUGAAUACCUUGCUGUUUUGACGUUACCAACACAAUAAGCACCGGCUAACUUCGUG
rnacentral:rRNA from 1 species